rnacentral:sRNA from 1 species
CAAGGUCUGAUUAGGUUACCCCGCUGGGUAGCUCACUGCAACGCAGCCAGCAGCCUUUAACUCCUGGGCUCAAGUGGUGUCCCUGCCUCAGCCUCCUAAUGAGCCAUAUUUUAAAGCCUGAGGUGAAGUUAUUUUUUUGAUCCAUUUAAAGUAAUCAUCCUCUCUGUCCUUCCAUUAGUCUGGAUCGUCUAAAGAUUGUUUUAUUUUUAGAGGCUCAUCCAGUCAGAUGUUAGUGAUGUGAAAUUUCAGGCCAGGCAUGACGUCAGCGUGGCAUUUGAAACAGCUCCACGUUGCCCUUAGUGCUGUCUGACUGAAGCCUGUCUGUUCUCAGAUAUAAAGAUGAAGCGCAGCUGUAUAAAGAAGAGCACCUGAGGAAUCGGCAGCACCCUCACUGCUAUGUUCAGUACAUGAUCGCCAUCAUCAACAACUGCCAGACCUUCAAGGAAUCCAUAGUCAGUUUAAAAAGAAAGUAUUUAAAGAAUGAAGUGGAAGAGGGCGUGUCUCUGAGCCAGCCCAGCAUGGACGGGAUUUUAGACGCCAUUGCAAAGGAGGGCUGCAGCGGUUUGCUGGAGGAGGUCUUCCUGGACCUGGAGCAACAUCUGAAUGAAUUGAUGACGAAGAAGUGGCUAUUAGGGUCAAACGCUGUAGACAUUAUCUGUGUCACCGUGGAAGACUAUUUCAAUGAUUUUGCCAAAAUUAAAAAGCCGUAUAAGAAGGUAAGAAGGUGGGACCUAGUUUCCUCAUCACCUUGACGCUAGGGCUCACCUCUCACCCUGCUCAGAAUUCAGCAUCCAGCGAGUCCCUCCGUGAGUGAACGUUCACUCGUCCUAUCAGCCCAAGGGAGGCAAGAGGCUCUGCGGAUGCCACCUCCCUGGGACGGGGCUCUGGUGAGACUGGCUGGGGCCCUGUGGCGUGGCCCUCGAGGUGGAGGGAGCCAUGGUUCCUGGAGAGGACCGCAUGCCCCGUCUUAGCUCCUUGCCCUUCCACUCACUCCGUGAGGCCCCAGGGAUUUCUUUCCGCUUCAGACCCU